ensembl:lncRNA
CCCUGCUCUGUCUCCUCCUGUCUGGUACAGGUACCCCCGCCACACUACGCCCUCUCUCCCUGCUCUGUCUCCUCCUGUCUGUUACAGGUACCCCCGCCACACUACGCCCUCUCUCCCUGCUCUGUCUCCCCCUGUCUGUUACAGGUACCCCCGCCACACUACGCCCUCUCUCCCUGCUCUGUCUCCCCCUGUCUGUUACAGGUACCCCCGCCACACUACGCCCUCUCUCCCUGCUCUGUCUCCUCCUGUCUGGUACAGGUACCCCCGCCACACUACGCCCUCUCUCCCUGCUCUGUCUCCCCCUUUCUGGUACAGGUACCCCGCCACACUCGCCCCUCUCUCCCUGCUCUGUCUCCCCCUUUCUGGUACAGGUACCCCCGCCACACUAUGCCCUCUCUCCCUGCUCUGUCUCCUCCUGUCUGGUACAGGUACCCCCGCCACACUACGCCCUCUCUCCCUGCUCCGUCUCCUCCUGUCUGGUACAGGUACCCCCGCCACACUACGCCCUCUCUCCCUGCUCCGUCUCCUCCUGUCUGGUACAGGUACCCCCGCCACACUACGCCCUCUCUCCCUGCUCCGUCUCCUCCUGUCUGGUACAGGUACCCCCGCCACACUACGCCCUCUCUCCCUGCUCUGUCUCCUCCUGUCUGGUACAGGUACCCCCGCCACACUACGCCCUCUCUCCCUGCUCUGUCUCCUCCUGUCUGGUACAGGUACCCCCGCCACACUACGCCCUCUCUCCCUGCUCUGUCUCCUCCUGUCUGGUACAGGUACCCCCGCCACACUACGCCCUCUCUCCCUGCUCUGU